rnacentral:rRNA from 1 species
CCUACGGGAGGCAGCAGUGAGGAAUAUUGGUCAAUGGACGAGAGUCUGAACCAGCCAAGUAGCGUGAAGGAUGACUGCCCUAUGGGUUGUAAACUUCUUUUAUAGGGGAAUAAAAUGUUCCACGUGAGGGAUUUUGUAUGGACCAUAUGAAUAAGGAUCGGCUAACUCCGUGCCAGCAGCCGCGGUAAUACGGAGGAUCCGAGCGUUAUCCGGAUUGAUUGGGGUUAAAGGGAGCGUAGGUGGAUUGUUAAGUCAGUUGGGAAAGUUUGCGGCUCAACCGUAAAAUUGCAGUUGAAACGUGCAGUCUUGCGUACAGUAGAGGUGGGCGUCAUUCGUGUUGUAGCGGUGCAAUGCUUAGAUAUCACG